GUUACACUGUUACUUUUAUUUUGUAUUAAAGAUUAAACUCUUUUUAACUGACUGUGCGCCUACGGCUCUGUCCUAUUCUAAAUAGGUACGUACCACUGGUCACAAUAAGAAACUAGAAAUAAAUGCGCUGUCAAUAUAAACAACUAAGAGAUGAACACACGUGAGUGUUCACAGAUGCUCUGACAAAGACUGAGGAAAAGACACAGCAGGACUAUUUAUACAUGACUGGGAAUCAGAAACAGGUGAAAACAAACAGGAAAAUCAUAAAGGAGGAAGAAAAAUAACACAAAGGAUGAAAGAAACCAAACCUUCAAAUUAAAGAGGAAAUAAUCAAAAAACUAAACAGAGACGAGGAAGAAGCACUCAGAGGAAGACGAUGAAAGACCAUGACAGUCAUAUAUAAAUAAAUCUGUAUCAAUGGUACUUUGUCCAGUUUCUUUCACUUGUUACUCUUGUGUAUGUGAAGCUUUAUUCAUUUAUAACUUUAACAACUUUUAGAGGUUUUUUUCAAGAGGACACUGAAGCAGACAGCACACCAGGCCACUAUAAAUAACUGAGAGUAAGAAUUCAUAAUAAGACUCUGACUGACCUGUGGUUGAGUCUGUUUUCACAUUCGAGUUACCUGAAUUUACCUUAAACUCAUCACGCUGUGCUGUAACAAAUUCAUGAUAAAUAAAUGAAAUAAAAUGGCAGAGUAGCUCUAUGAAGGUAACAGACUAAUGUAAGAUCAGAUCAGUAUUGCAUUGACAUAUUUUACUUUAGUAUUUCUUUUAAUGUUUUAUCCAUAUGUGUAGCUUUUGAUGAGGAUUUUGGGAACUCCAAGAGUUAAUACAAAAAAGGACACUAAGGCAGUCAGCAC